AUAUGGCGCGAUUGUUUUGAUUAUUUGUGAUCACAUCUUUUGUUUUUUAAGUUUUUGAACAAGAAUUAAGCAGCCCGGAGCUUAAAAUGAAUAAUAGAUUUGUUCGGGUUUGGGAGCCAUCGCAACCUGAAGCAAUUGAAAGAAGACCAUCUGUGUCCCAUGAAAACCUUCGAAUAUUUGAUAAAUCCUGCUGGGACAUCUCACAAAGUCCCACAAACAAGAUCCUGACGGGCAACAAAGCCCUGGACACUCAUUUUGGAGGUGGAAUAUCCUUGGGUCACCUGGUCGAACUGAUUGGCAAUUCGGGCACUGGAAAAACGCAAAUGUGCUUGCAACUUUGCCUAAAUGUACAAAUUCCCAAGGCAGCUGGCGGAUUGGAGGGCAGUGCAUUAUUUAUAGACACUCGACAGGAUUUCCAUCCUGACAGAUUAAUGGGCCUAGCUCUGAAACUGGAAAGGCAGUAUGCACAUAGAGUUCCAGAAUUUAAGGAUCACAAAAUGCUUCAGAAAAUCCAUUAUGUAAGGUGCCCCAAACUGGAUCAAUUAAUGGCCACUGUGCUCAGUUGCCACAGGCAUCUCGUGGAUCAUCCCGAUAUUAAGCUGAUUGUAAUCGACUCCCUGGCUUUUACUCUGCGAAUGCUUGAGGAUGGCGCCCAUCGUUACGAGCUGCUCCUGGAACUGCAUGAAAGCAUGCGGAGAUUGCAACGUCAACACGAAUUGGCCUGGGUCUUCACCAAUGUGCUCACGCAUCGCUACGUCAAGCAAAAGUUCCAAGUGGAGCCCGCCUUGGGGGAUCUGCAUUCGCACUUGAUCAACGAGCGCAUCUGGUUUACGGGCAGCUCUGAGCUUCACCUGGGCAAGUCGUGGCGAACGAGUAGAUUAAUUAAGGAAUCCGAAUGAGGCUGCAUCACUUUUACUUUGUGCCGAGCUUAAGCAUUAGUUAAAAACAGCAAAAGAUUAGAAUCGAAGCAUUAGCACAGGAAAGAGGAGCAGCAGCAGCAUUGGCAAACGGCAUCCUCAACCACUUGCCAUGAUGCGCUGUGGCACAGAAAACGGAUCCGCAACUAGCGCACACCCAGCCAGCUGCUGAGCACUUGCUAAAAGCUCCACCGGUCACCUCCACUCCACGAGGAGCCCGAUGCCUAUCGAUGGCGCAGCUCCAGAUUGACAGGCGAGCAACGCCUGAUUUAUGCGCGCGGCGCAGGAAUGUGGCAAAGUGUAAAAAGUGUUUACACAUACGAACGGCGACACCCAAACCAGACUGCCGAUCUCUAGCCCGCGGCCUUUUAUUAUACACUGGAAAAAGUAAAGUAUCUCUUUCUAGAUGAAUAUUUGAAUGAUUCAUUUGGUAACAUUUCAUGUCAUUUACAAUAUAUAUGUUUAACUUUGGCUGUGUACAGUGCAAUGCUCACUUUUGGAAAAGUAGAACCAAAUACUUGCAUACGUUAUUUUUUCCAGUGCACUCCUUAGGCGAACAUGGAGCUCCGGGCAGCAGCUAGUCACGCAUAUGCAGCGACAACUAAUUCAAUUUCCACUUGCCAUAAGGAGGCGGCUGUUUAGCCGAGUGUGCACGCCUAAUUGGUAAUGCGAUCGGCUUUAUUGAGGCGCUGGAGUCGAAGCAGCACUUGUGGCUAUAGCUCUACCCAUAUGGCUUAGUCUCUGGAUCGGAAUCGGUGGAUGUGACUGGGCCUGGUGCUCACUGCCUGGCGGAGUUCGCUGGUGCAGUCACAGGCUAUCGCUGUCGCUCAGCGCAAAUCCCAUUACGUGCGAUCCGUUUCGAGCCAUAAACAUGUAACAGCUGCAGAGCCGAGCUCCCCUCCCAGUUUCCACCGAUCCCACCCGAUCCUAGCCGAGUUUCCUGGCUUCCAGCGGCGCAACUUGUCGCUCGAACUUAAUUGCCUCGGUUGCGCUUAUGACUUUCGUGUGCAAUGCAUCCUCAUCCACAUCCACAUCGCCGCUCUGUGACUGCAGCAUUAGAAAGUAACUCCAGCCGGCGGAUAGCUAUAGCUAUCAACAUCGGGCUCGCAUCGUCUUCGUCGUCAUCGCGGAGAUGCUGGCGCUAUUUUCGACACCGCCUGGCCCGCCAUAAAUUUCCAACUGCCCUGUAAUGCACUUGCACCUCAAAAACUAGAAAUAGUCUGACUGAGCCGGUGGCACCGAAAAAAGUUUCCGAGAUGAUCGGAAAAAGAUUUUGGUAUCAGUAAAAAAACACUACAGAUUCAGAUUUGGUAUAGAUUUUAUUUUGGAAUCAUUAAAAGGCAAUGUUAAGUUUGGUCUUUGUAUCAUUGUAUUUUUUAUAUUCGUUUCUGGUAAAUCGU